CCAUUUUAUGAGUGGAGCAUCAAACUAAACUGGACAGGUACCUCUAAGUCUGGAGUGCAGUCCAAGGGGCAUGUGGAGAUCCCCAAUUUGUCUGAUGAAAACAGUGUGGAUGAAGUAGAGAUUAGUGUGAGCCUUGCCAAAGAUGAGCCUGACACAAAUCUCGUGGCCUUAAUGAAGGAAGAAGGGGUGAAACUUCUAAGAGAAGCAAUGGGAAUUUACAUCAGCACUCUCAAAACAGAGUUCACGCAGGGCAUGAUCUUGCCUACGAUGAACGGAGAGGCAGUAGACUCAACCGGGCGGCCAGCACUGAAAACUGAGGAGCGCAAGGCUAAGUCUGCUCCUUCAAAAACCCAGGCCGGACCUGUUGGUGUCAAAAUCCCCACUUGUAAGAUCGCCCUUAGAGAAACCUUCCUGACCUCACCAGAGGAGCUCUAUAGAGUCUUUACCACUCAAGAGCUCGUUCAGGCCUUUACCCAUGCUCCCGCAAUGCUGGAAGCAGACAAAGGUGGGAAGUUUCACCUGGUAGAUGGCAACGUCUCUGGGGAGUUCACUGAUCUGGUCCCUGAGAAACUGAUUGUGAUGAAAUGGAGGUUUAAAUCUUGGCCAGAAGGGCACUUUGCCACCAUCACCUUGACCUUCCUGGACAAGAGCGGAGAGACUGAGCUGUGCAUGGAAGGCAGAGGCGUGCCGGCCCCCGAGGAGGAGCGGACGCGGCAGGGCUGGCAACGGUACUACUUCGAGGGCAUCAAACAGACCUUCGGCUACGGCGCGCGCUUGUUCUAGGCCUGGCGCCGGGGGCGGUGUCCGCCCCCUCGGCCCAGCCCUCUCCUGACUAGGGCGUGGGACUCCCAGGAUUGCACCAUCCCAACCACUAACUUGGGGCUGGGGCCCCUUCCCUCCACGUAUAGCUGGGGUUUGUGCAUUUCUGCUGGGUGGGAUUGGAGGGCGAUUUCUCUUUUAUGUGUACAUAAGCUAAAUAAACGUAAUUUAAAAAA